AACCCCUGUGAACAUACCUAUUUGUUGCCUCGGCGGUGCCUGUUCCGACAGCCCGCCAGAGGACCCCAAACCCUGAUUACAUUUAAGAAGUCUUCUGAGUAAACCGAUUAAAUAAAUCAAAACUUUCAACAACGGAUCUCUUGGUUCUGGCAUCGAUGAAGAACGCAGCGAAAUGCGAUAAGUAAUGUGAAUUGCAGAAUUCAGUGAAUCAUCGAAUCUUUGAACGCACAUUGCGCCCGCUAGUAUUCUGGCGGGCAUGCCUGUCCGAGCGUCAUUUCAACCCUCAAGCCCCCGGGCUUGGUGUUGGGGAUCGGCGAGCCUCCGCGCCCGCCGUCCCCUAAAUCUAGUGGCGGUCUCGCUGUAGCUUCCUCUGCGUAGUAGCACACCUCGCACUGGGAAACAGCGCGGCCACGCCGUUAAACCCCCAACUUCUGAACGUUUGACCUCGGAUCAGGUAGGAAUACCCGCUGAACUUAAGCAUAUCAAUAAGCGGAGGAAGGUACCGUUAGACCGCUACUAGAUUUAGGGGACGGCAGGCGCUGAGGCUCGCCGAUGCCCA
rnacentral:rRNA from 2 species